GUAAGUUUCAAAAUGCACCCAUCCUUUUAUUACUGACACCUUCAAAUAAAAUGCUCCCUCAAUGAAGCUUUCCCUCUGCAUUAAUCUGGUGAAAGAAAAACUGAAUGCUUGUGGGACAGUGGAAGUCUAUCACUGCUCAGCCCUUGCAGACUUCACUCUGCAUGCUCCCUGAUUUUGCUUCAUGACCACAAGAUGUCUCCUGUGAUCCAUGGAAAUAGCAAAAGCUGGCAGACAGGCUAAAGAAGUGUAGGAAAAAAAGGGAGCAGCCUCCAGGAAAUGCCUGAGAGGAGAUUCCUGAUGCAUGUCCCAUCUCCCACCCAAGAGAAGACAAUCCCAGAG